UUGGCCCUGGGCCCGCGGCUUCUGUGGGAGCAGGCUGGCGGGCCGAGUGCAGCCAGCAGGCUCUGCGGAGAGUCGCAUUGGAGUUUGGGGGCUGCCGAAGCUUUUGUUUGUCAGGAAACCAGGAACGCGCGAGGGGCGGGCUCCUGCCGUCCUCCCGGGAUUCCUUAGCUGUGGGGGAAAAGGGGGUUGUCCAGCCCCGCCAGGGGACCUAGGACGGAAAAGCGACUGGGAACUCCUCGCGCCCCAUAGCGCUCUACCCACGUGGUGCUGCCUGGGACAAAGGGCCUCAGAGGAGAAGAGAUUCGCUUUACUCCAGAGAUGUACCUCCUUUUACCUACUUAACCUACUAGUCAGUCGAAAAGCACCUGAGUAAAGAUGGAGGUUAGGAAAGGUGGCAGCUGCACCAAGAAAGGAGGGUAUGAAGCACAUGGCCCAGGUUUAAAGGUCUUGAUUCCCAAAGGGAGAACAUUUCUACCCAGAAGCACAGAAAGAGUCUUCAACUGAACUUUAAGCUGUACAACCAGGCACUUUGGGCCCCUCAUGCCAACACCAGCGGGCAAGAAAAAGAUCCUGGUGGGGCUAAUUGACUCCUUAUCAUCAAGAGGAAGUAGAGCUACUGUUAUACAGUAGAGGCUGAGAAACAUAUGUUUGGCAACCAGAUAAUCAACUUGGACAUCUUAGUACUGUCUUGUGCAAUUUUGAUGACAAAUGGCCACGUGCAGCAGGUGAAGCCUGAGAUUUUUGACAGUCUGAGCCACUUCACUAGGAAAAGAGGCCCACCAGCAUCCUGGAGGAGCUACUCCCAGGACUCAUGAAGAAAGUGGAUCUGCGUGGCACAAGGCAUGGACCAUCCUGGAAUGCCAUACUGCCCUGCCUAGACCAUAGCCAUCAGCCCUCUUAGGAAUUGCUUCAGCAAAAGAGAGCUGUUUUGUUCAAAGUCAGGCUCCCUUCUGGACAGCCAACAUCCACUAACUGAUGCUCAAUCCUCUUUCCUUUUAUUCAACAGGUGUUGAUUAGAGUACUCUCUAAUAAAAUUCCUAUGUGCUGA